rnacentral:lncRNA from 1 species
AGGACGUGUUAUGCUCACAAGCAGCAUUUUGCAGGCUGUGGCACUGCAUUCAGCUCACACCGACUCGCCCGAAAGGACGUGUUGUGCUCAUAGGCAGCAUUUUGUAAGCUGUUGCACUGCAAUUCACACCCAAACUUGCUUGAAAGGUCGUUUUACAAGUUGGCAGGGACAAACUGAAAUAAAGAGACGAAACUCCUUCAAGACCUUUAUCUCAGCAAGAUGAAGUUCCCUUUGAUUUUGUUCCUCGUUGUUUGUGUUGGGGUCGUAAGCGCAGCACCUGCAGAGAAGACAAGACUGCGGAGUUCCUUAAACUCGCCUUGGUCUUACGCCCUGUUGAGUUCCCCCAAUGUGCAAGACUCCAAGGCAGGUGUAUGCUGCCAAUUACGAUUCUCAUGUUGUCGGUCAGAUAGCAACAGGUCAAACUGAGUUGUGACCAUAUUCUGUAAACACCACUCCCUUAAGAGUCCAUUUAUUGGGGAUGGUGUUUUUCCUUUUACUAUAAGAGAAUAGAACACAUGUUAAUGAGACUUUACGCAAAUCUCCGCUUCACAGUAUCUUCCUAACAAGGUAAAUAGCUCUGGAAUACACUGACCUAAAUGCUCUUCGUGUCUCUUCCUAUCUAUUAAUUCUACGUAAGAAAACAAGCACUUACUUGCGACAGAAAUAAACUAUAUCACGUCUUUGAGGAUUCCGAAGAUGAGCACAAAUUGUCUGACACCAAAACAUUCUGAGCUGAAGCGGUUCCGACCAGUCAGAAUAUAUAUGAACAAGACGAUCACUUGGAGGAAGGCUUAAAGCCUUUGUCCAACACAUGAAACUAAAGCUGAUAGUUCUAAGCGGGAAAGCUAGGGUUUACGCCUAGUGAGGCUAGGUUCCAUUCAAGUACAGUAAUGUCCUGCCAUCAAUAUUUCGAUAGGAAGCACCAUUGUACAAACUUUUAGAUUCAUGAAAAUAAAGGAGAUACAUGUGUCAAUGUACAUACCA